UUUUAGAGCGGAAGAAGCUUUAUACUAAUCAACAAACCUACCUUCCACUAGAGAAUAAAAUUAAUAAAUUAUAGUUAAACAAUUUCAUGUCAAUAAAAAAUAAGUUCUAAAUCUUAGAGAGAUUUGCCCCAGGACGCAAAAUUUCUUAAUCCGACCCUGCAAACUACACAAGGUAUAUAACCACAUAUAUCCACGAUUAUAGCUUUGUAAUUAUUGUAAUAAAUUGGUACAACUCUAUUUUACAAAUGGAAAAGAUAUAUAGGUACCUAAUGUUGCUUAUUCUGGAAAGUUUCAUAUUUGUGAUUUGCAGUAACUUUAUCUGUAGGAUACAGACAUUCAUCAUCUAUUAAUUUAAAGUUAAUUCAAAAUGUGUAAGAUAAUUUAUUUUAUACACAAUUAGUAUUUGUUAAUCUCACUAUGAAAUAACAAUAAAUAAUACUUGGAAUGUAUUUUGACUAUUG